CUGGGGCACCUGGGUGGCUCAGUCGAGGGAGCAUCCGACUCUUGAUUUCCGCUCAGGUCAUGAUCUCAGUUUGGGAGUUCGAGCCUCGCAUCGGGUUCCGCACUGACAGCGCGAAGCCCGGUUGGAAUCCUCUCGCUCCCUCUC